rnacentral:lncRNA from 1 species
GCGGACACAGUCAAACCAUAGCAUGAUGGAACAUACAUGAUUCAAACAAAUGGCAGGGUGAUAAGUGCAGCUAGAAAAAUAUAAAACCAAGUAGAGUGAUAAGGAGCGAAUGGGGUGGAAUCUGUUAGGUUGGUGCAAAAGUAAUUGCAGCUUUUUGUCAUUACUUUGAAGUGCAAAAACUGCAAUUAUGUUUGCACCAACUUAAUACUUUAUAUGGGACGGUCAGGGAAGGCCUCUUAGAGAAGGUAGUGUUUGAACUGAGACCUGAAUAAUGAGAGAAGGUAGGCAAGUGAACAUCUGGAGCAACAGUGUUCUAGGCAGAGGGACUAGCCGCUGCAGAAGCCCUGAGGUGGAGACCGACAGAACCACAGAAUGACAGAAGAUUAUUGAAAGAGGAGCAAUGUGGAGCAAGAUGCGGUCUGAGAUUUAGGUGAGAAGCAGAGUGUGUAAGACCUUGUAGCUCCUAGUGAGGGAUUUAGGUUUAUCUAAGGACCCAGAGAAACUACAGAAGGUGUCAAGGAGGAAGUGAGAGAUG